rnacentral:lncRNA from 1 species
GUAUCCUGGUGAAGUUUGGAUGCAGAGAACUUGGAGCGGUUGUUUUCUACCAGACACUAGGAUCCCUGUGAGAGGUGUCGUUCUUUACUGCUGCACACACCUUCCUCCACAUGGUGAAGAUACAUCGCUCCUGACAGAUCCAAAGGGAGAUAUCGAUCCAUGGAAGAUGGUUGCUGUCGGAAAAUGCUGAGAAGUUUGCACAAGGAAUGGAAGCAGAGUUAACCAAUGUAUCAGGAAGCUUACACUUUCUCCUUUUAAACGGCUGUGCUGGUCUAUUAAGACAUGCCUAAUACCCAAACCUGAGGGGCAAAAGGGGAGAGAAUGAAGUUUAUGUGUCUGUGUCGUAGAGAAAAGCUGCCAAAAUGUGAUUAAGCUUUUUGAGUUAGAACUUAAUAAAAUGCCUUUGCUACUGGUUUCCAUGGUUGUCCAGUGAAAAGAGUGAAUACAUUUAUAGGAAACACAAAAGGUGGUUUCAGAGCUAGGGCAGGAUGGAAGACGUAUUUCUUCUACUAUUCGCUCCUGUGAGUUUAGUACCACAGACCUGCUCAGGCAUCUGGGAGAUGCCGGUGGGAGAUGCCAGGGCUGAGCAGGUUUGAAUUUCUUCCUAAACGGGGAACAAAGACCUUGAGGAAGGAAUAUAGAUCUUCAGGAAGACCCAGCUCCUCACUAAUGAGCUUACCAAAACAUCCCACCUAUCUGGCCCCUGGCUGCCUCUCUGGCCUCAUCUCCCUCCUCUCUCACCAUUGUUUUCUCUGCCUUAGCCACGCUGGCCUGACUGCCUCCAGCUCAGGGGACACCUUGCUGUCUCCACAACCUUGUGCUUCCUGAGCUGGAUAUCAUUCUCCUGAUAUCUGCAUACGUCACCCAUCUCACUUCUGGUACAUCUCUGACCCCCUGGACACCUCACCUUAAAAUAGUACCACUGGACCCCGUCGGCCAUGUUACACUGCUUUAGUUUUCUCACACUUGCUUAUUACUCCUGAAACAGCAAUUUGUAAAUUGUCUCUAGCACCAGACUGUAAGGGCGGUAACGACAGGGGCUUUGAGUGUCUUGUUCUCUGCUCUGUCUUCAACUCCUAGAUGCGUCUCUAACGUGCAGUAGGUCCUUAGUAAAUAUUUAUAGAAUGCAUGAAUGAACCAGUAAGUAUAGUGCCUGGCACAUGAUUAAGUGUUGAAGAAGUGUUAGUAAUUAUUAUGGACAUUACUCACACUGCCAAACUACUUCGUGAAUUUUCCCAGGGGUAGGGAACUCCUCAUCUUAUAGUUUAAAUGGAACAUCACUUUAUUGGGCUAGUACCAUAACUGGAACUUUAACAACCAUUACUUCAUUUCAUCCACACAUCAGCCUUAUGAAUAAGUGUUACUGUUCCCACUUUGCACAUGAGAAAAAGAAGGAUCAAAAUGUCAAAUGACCACCAACUACUCCAUUCAGGAUCACUUAUACGGUUUGGCUCUGUGUCCCUACCACAGUCUCAUCUCAAAUUGUAAUCCCCAGGUGUCUUGGGAGAGAUCUGAUGGGAGAUGGUUGGAUCAUGGGGGCAGUUUUCCCCAUACUGUUCUCGUGAUAGUGAGGGAGUUCUUGUGAGAUCUGAUGGUUUAAAAGUGGCAGUUUCUCCUGUGCUGUCUUUCUCCUGUCGCCUUGUGAAGAAGGUGCCUUGCUUCACCUUCUGCCAUGAUUGUAGGUUUCCUGAGGCCCUCUAGCCAUGCAGAACUGUGAGCCAAUUACACCUCUUUUGUUUAUAAAUUACCCCGUCUCAGGUAGUAUCUUUAUAGCAGUGUGAGAACGGACUAAUAUAUUCACAAAGCUGGAGGAGGGAGUGCUGUGAGUUAAACCCAUCAGUCCCAAAUCCAUUUCUCUUUCAACCACUCCCAGCAUUGGUUCCGGGAACUCCAGGCAUGGAGCUCUCCUUCCUCAGGAUGCCCAUAGCACCUGCUUUUCGUAUUUGAUGAAUCUUGCCUUGCACUGUCAUCAGGGGUCUCUCCCUCCACUCCAUGAGUUCCUUGAGAGCUGAGACCAAAUCUUAUUCCCAGAGCACAGGGCUGGGAAUACAGCAGGAGCUCAGAAACAUCUUGACUUGGGCUAGUGUGAGGAGUGGGAGAAAAAAGGAGAGGAUUGUGUGUGCAUGUAAGAGUGGGUCCUUUGCCUCUUAAAAAAGUAUCUACUGCAGCUUGUGCUGAAUAUGAGUGUUCUGAAUCCUCAGUAUGAUCAGGGAGGGCACUCAGAGAGAAAGAAGAGCUGAAAUGAUCUAUGUGAGGGUUCCCCAUUCAGUGUCAUCUGGAGCAAAUAGUCUUCCCCAGAGUUUACAAGCAUAUGGAAGCCCAGGGGCCGCAAGAAGCCAAGGUAGCCAAAGUUCACCUACCUGCUAUGACAGCCCCCUGGGGUGAGUCGUCUCCUCAUUUAAUAAAAUAAAUUAGGAGGGCUGGAUAUGCCUUAAAAUAAUGGUUCUAUAACUGCAAAGAAGCUGACUGUAACUCUGCCACCUGUUAGGAACAGGAUGUCACUGUCACUGAAACAGAAGACUGAAAAUUAGCCCAUGCUAUAUAUAAAUUGGGAGGGUGGUGGGGGGGCAGGGAACUGGGAACAUCUCGUUUUGACAUUCAGCAAUAUUUUCAAGGCUCUCUAAAGAACCUCAGAAGAAAAGAAUGUAAGAGAGUCCAGGACCUAAAGGGAAAUAAGGACCUGAUUUUCAAUCGCAUUUUGACCUGAAAAUGAAAUAAAAGCCUGUAUUGUGAUGACUUGAGUAGCUUGCUGUCCUAGAGCUGCACAAUUGAAGUGGUUUCAUUUCUGAGUACCUUCUGCCACUCACUAGAUUCUGGAAUUAAUCCUCUGCCAGGCUAAAAGCAGAAACAGCUACAGGGCUAACACUUCCUAGGAAGAAGUAUUUAGCAGAAGCAGUGGUGUUCAGUGUGGAGGCAUUUUAACACAGGGUUCCGGAAGGUUCAUCUGCAUCCUGCACUGACCCAGCACAGGGUCUGUAGUGGUCACAGUGGUUGAAUUCCCACCAUCUAUUUCUUACCAAAUAAUCAGACUAAGCCAGUGGUUCUUCAUGAGAGGCUAUUCCCCUCCCCCACUAAGGUGACAUUGGCAAUAUCUAGCAACGUUUUUAGUUGUCAUACCUGGGGAGGUGUUACUGGCAUCUCAUGGGUAGGAGCCAAGGAUGAUGUUUAACAUCCUACAAUGCACAGGAAAGCACUCCAACAAAGACUUACCUGCCCCAAAACAUUAAGAGUGCUGAUGUUGAGAAAACUUGGUGGUCUAUGGGGUUUGAUUUGCCAAUGUCUGCCUUAAGAAUGGGUGUAAGACUUUAUCCCAGCAAAUAGUCUUGAAGCAAAGUCUGUUGGAAGCUAUUUGAGAAAGGUUCUCUCAUUCUUAAGAAGGAGAACCAGAAGAAACUGUCUCUUUUCUUUUGGCUGUUGUAGUGUUUGAAUGUGACUUCUGGACCUGUUGUAGCCACUUUGAGACCCUGAAGGGAACAAUUUUGAGAGCAAUCCAGCCAUAUCCAGUAAAGCUGGAGAUGUGCAAACUUGCAACCAGCAAUUCCGCCCAUAGACAUAUGCCCUGGAGAAGUCUUUACACAAGUGCACCAGAGGGCAAGUACACAAGUGUUCCCGGCAGCAUUGUAAUACUGAAAACUCACCAAUAUUUGUUUGUAAAUAGGCAAAUGGAUAAUUAAAUUGUUACAUAACUAUUAAAAAUAAAUAUUUAGCAGUGACAGUAAAUAAAUUAUGCCUUUGGAUGCAUGUCACAAAUAGAAAGUUGAAUGAAAAGUACAAAUUGAAUUUUUCUCCCCGGGCACAUGUUUGCCGCAAAGGCCCUGGUGGCUGAGACCAAGGCUGGCUCUUUACUGUGAGGCCAGCCUUGCAGGUGGGGCAGAGAGGAGGAAAUUUUAUUGUAAGACCUGGGACAAAGGUGGCUUCUGGAACUCCCAAAGAAAAUAGAUUUUUCUGGUAAGGGGAAUGCAAGGCAAGGCUUCUCUGAUGUGUUAGCCUCAGAAGGUGUAAGGUUAAAUAAUGAUCUCAUCAGUAUAACAGGAGCUGGACAGUAUUAAUCAGUGGUCCAAUUCAAAAUAAAGCCACACUCUGCUAUAAGCAAAGUAAUGAAGGCUUAUUGUGACCUGGGGCUCCUUAAUGACACAGAUUUGAUUCCCACUUAAUGGGCAACUGAAUAAUGCAGCUGAUAGCCCAGACCAGCAGGGAAGGCAGACCAGAGGGGUACAGUAGGCUGCCCGGGAUGAGGCAUCUAAAGACUCUUAUCACAUGUCACAUCAUCAGGCCUUGAAUUUACUAUUAAACAGCAAAUAAGCAAAUAUGCCACUGACAGAAGACCUUUCCAAACUUCAGGGCAUCUACUAAAAUUAUAUUUAUCUCUCUUUGAUAUACCAAUCACGCAACUCAAAACUAUGCAGAAACUAAUCUACAUAUUAAAUUGUGCCAAUAAAUGUUGUCUUCUCUGUUUACAUAAAAUGAAUUGCAAGUUCCCAUAUGGUUCCUUAAAUCUGUGGCCUAAAUAUAUUUUUUUUAAUUUCAGAGACACUUUUAUGUCUUGUGAUCUUUAUUCUCAGAUAUGUAAUUUUUUUUCUCACUGCUUAUUUUCCUAAUGUAAAUUUCUCAGUUAUUAUAGUGGGGAAUUUUUUUUAUUGGAUAACCUUUGGGAGCAUGAUGAGGAUAGAAAAAUGAUUAACUGAGUAUUAUACACAUUAUCAUUAAAUGGAUAAACUUCUAAUAUCGGGAUUGUGUAUGCUUAAAAUAAGUUUAAAAUAUUGCAAAUUUAAGUAUCUUUUGUCAGAACAUGAGAAAGUUGAGGGAAAAAUAGUGGAAAGUUCCUAAAAGGGAAACAAAAAAAACAGCUUACACUAUUAGUGAUGACUAUUUGCUUUCUGUUACGAUAUCUGAAUCUUUAAUAUCAGUAGAAAUUAGGUUCCAAACUAAAACUGUUCAUUACAAUUGCUCAGCAUCAAGUAAUUUUUAUGUUGGAUAAAGACACAACUCAAUUGCUCUCCCUGAUAUCAAUAUGGGGAACAACCCACUGUGUUUCUCAUUUGGUGUUAAUAUUGUGGCCUCAGAUUUCCUCUCAUAAUUGCUUCAAUAAUUACAAUCUAUACAUAAAAACUAAAACUAAUUAUUGAUGAGCUUGUAGUUCUGUUGUAUGUGUACAAGAGCUAUUCAAAGAAUGGUUGAAAAGGAAAACUAUGAAUAAAAUAUUAUUCUCAUG